rnacentral:rRNA from 1 species
UGCGAACUCCUACGGGAGGCAGCAGUGGGGAAUUUUGGACAAUGGGCGAAAGCCUGAUCCAGCCAUGCCGCGUGUAUGAAGAAGGCCUUAGGGUUGUAAAGUACUUUUGUUAGGGAAGAAAAGGCAUUUGCUAAUAUCAGAUGCUGAUGACGGUACCUAAAGAAUAAGCACCGGCUAACUACGUGCCAGCAGCCGCGGUAAUACGUAGGGUGCGAGCGUUAAUCGGAAUUACUGGGCGUAAAGCGAGCGCAGACGGUUACUUAAGCAGGAUGUGAAAUCCCUGGGCUCAACCUGGGAACUGCGUUCUGAACUGGGUAGCUAGAGUGUGUCAGAGGGAGGUAGAAUUCCACGUGUAGCAGUGAAAUGCGUAGAGAUGUGGAGGAAUACCGAUGGCGAAGGCAGCCUCCUGGGAUAACACUGACGUUCAUGCUCGAAAGCGUGGGUAGCAAACAGGAUUAGAUACCCUUGUAGUCCGA